UGGCGGACGGGUGAGUAAUGUCUGGGAAACUGCCUGAUGGAGGGGGAUAACUACUGGAAACGGUAGCUAAUACCGCAUAACGUCGCAAGACCAAAGAGGGGGACCUUGGGCCUCUUGCCAUCGGAUGUGCCCAGAUGGGAUUAGCUAGUAGGUGGGGUAACGGCUCACCUAGGCGACGAUCCCUAGCUGGUCUGAGAGGAUGACCCGCCACACUGGAACUGAGACACGGUCCAG
rnacentral:rRNA from 1 species